AUUAGUCUUGGCACGGAGUUUAAGAGUAUAAAGAAGAUUCUUGUAUCUUAUGGUCCUAAAUUAAAGUUAUGUUAAAUGUACAAAAUUGUCCUUUGAUCUUGUGGCCUUAAACAUGCCACGUGAAAAACUUAUUUUAAAAUGUUACAAAAAAAAAAGUUAUUUUAAAGUGGACUAAAAAGGAAAGGAGGUUAUUCUUUUUAAAACGGAGGCAGUAUUUUAUAACAGUGUACAUAUAUUAUGAUUUUGUCACGACCCACAAAUGGACGUGAUGACACUCGUCUUAUCCCACCAAGACAAGUAAGCCUAAAACUCAACUAUUACAAUAAAAAUGCGGAAAAUUUACUAUCAACUUACAUUAUACCCCAAAACCUGGUUGUCACGUGUACAAGCCUCUAAAGUAUUACAAUCGGAUCAAAAGAAAAUAUAAGUCUCUUAUGAUAUUGUUUCUAGAGUAGAACAAAAUCAUAAACAAGAGUAAGGAGGGAUGCUGAGAUGACCAACAACUACCUCACAAAAUCUCCAGGAAGCCUCGGAAAAAGAAGAGAAUAUAUCAUAAAAGUCCGGGCUAGUAACCUACAAAAAUUUGUAGAAGCAAGGGGUGAGUACCAAACCACACGGUACUCAGCAAGUAAAACGUCUAAACACAAGCUAAGGGGAUAAAAUACGGGUACUCCUACCACCCCCAACAAAACCUCCACAACUACAACCUGCAUUAAAAUCAACCCAACCUAACAGCUCACAGUUUACAUAGCACGUAGCUCAACAACAACACUUAGACAAAUUACAUAUCCUCAACAACAACACUUCAACAAAUUACAUAUCCUCAACAAGAAUACUUCAACAAAUUUCAUAUCCGCAAUAAGAAGCUCAAUAUUAAUCAAUCACAAGUUCCGCAGAAAGGCAAUCAGAAGAUCAGCAAAAUACGAUAUCAAGUUCACUAAUGAGAAGUAUGUGCAAUGCAAUGGAAUGCAAUGUCAAGUAUAAUGAUGCAUGUCUGACCUAGUGAUACACACCCGCUGUCUCUCAGUUCGGGACCCAUGGGGGACAUAUCUGUCCAUGCAUCUGUCGCGGCGCACGAUACGAUGCUCGAUAAAAGUAACCAUCGCGGCGCGCGAUACGUCCCUCGAAAUAUAGUAUCCAUCGCGGCGCGCGAUACGUCCCUCGAAAUGGUACAUCCUCUUAAGUACCCAUUCUUUCUUAAUGCACAUAACACUUGUCACAACAAAUGCCUCAGAAUAAUGCAGAUGACAAGUUCACACAUAUAAUAAGGAGAUGACCAUUUUCAUAACAUCGCACAGUUCACAACCACACAAACAUGAAGUUACAUCAACAAUGAUUCAACAAGCCUUCAACCCUUUCUCAACACAACAGACAUAAACAAGUAAUCACAUUACCUUUUGUUAUCCCCAUUCUUUUUAUCAUUAAAAUAAAUCAAUAUGGACAAGUCAACCCAUCACCAAUCCCGUUACUCCCAACAUAUACCACAAGGACAUACACGCAUUUGAUACACUUAACAAGAGUUUAGAAAUCCACUUGCCUCAAUUUAUCGAAAACUCACUCCAUGACUUGAGCCUUUAAUUUUUGUUGAACUUCCAACUCAAGCAAUCUAUUCAUACAAAUGAUGACGAUAAGAUUUAGAAACUAACAACAUUCAUAUAAUUAUGUGUCUAGCCUUUACCCAAAAAGCUACAAAGUCUAAAAUCAAGUUCUUAAGUUUCAAUCUUAGAGUUAAGUUCCAAUUUUUUUUCAAUAUCCUAAAUCUAAUAAUGAUAUUCUCAUAAUACCUUACACCUAAUAUUAAUUUCAUUAAACUUGUAUCAUAAUUGAACAGUAAAAUUCUAAUAUUUGCAACCAAUGAAUACAAUAACCUUACCGAAACUUUUGACUCAUAUUUACAUCAAAGUCAUCUAUUAUUAUUAAUGAUUAACUACUCAUAAAUUUCUAAUUAUUGGCUAAUAAUUGACCACUCAAGGAAUUGUUCUCCCUUAGAUCCAAAAGACCCCAACGACUUACUGAUAUUUCAAAUUGAAAUUAGCAAUUCACUUUCCUUCUAACCCAACAACAUAAACAUCAUAAUAUUUCAAUCUAUAGCACUCUAAAUAUAUAGAUAUAUAAAAAUAAAAAUAUAUUCACUACACUAACUCAAUUUGCUCCCCACUUUCUAACAUUCACGUCAAUCAUAAUUGGUAUUACCUGAAGUAGUUGUCGUCAUUCUCGCCUAAACCCUUUCUUCUUCUUCUUUUUUCUAUUCUUUUUCUCCUCUGCGAACUGCUGUUGUUCACAACAGCCAACAAUAUAUGACCUUUUCUUUCUCUUUUGAUUAUUUCUUUUAAACAAAAGUCUGCGUGACUGCUGCUAUUAGCAGCAGCCUUUAACCCUUUUUUUCAAUUGGGUGUAGCCCUUUUUAAUUUUUUAUUUUUGUUAUUAUUUUUUUAUUAUUUCCUUUUCUUUUCUUUUUCUUAAAAAUCCUUUUGGACUUAGCAAAUUUAAUUUCCUUUAUUUAUUUAAUAAAACUUAAGUAACUCUUAAUUUAUUUACAAAAAUUAUAAUAUUCAUUUCCACCAGUCAUAAAUUAUUUAUAAAAAUUACUAAAAGGAUUAAACUUAGAAAAAUGAGUAAAAUUCAUAAAACAACUAAGAGGGUCGUUACAUUAUCCAACACUAAAAAUCAUGUUCGUCCUCGAACAUAAAGAAGAAGAAGGAAGAAUAACCGAGUUACGAAAAGUCUAAGUUAUGACCAACUAGUCAAUGUUCUUCUCUCGUGAGCCCCUCCUUAAGACCUGCUCAUCAAGAUCAAGUAACCACAUAGCUAGCGAUACACCCAAGCUAACAGAACCUCUAACAACACUCUUAGACAAUUGUAACUUUUCAUACCUCUUAUAUAGGUUUCAUAAGCAAGGUUGUGCAUGUAGAACUACUUAUAUACUUCAACUUCCAAGCAAAACCAAACCUAUCAUAACUGAAGUGAUCAAUUAUGCCCAAGGAUCUCAUCAUAUAAAGGGACAUAAGAAGAUCGGUACAUCCGAUCCACCACUAAGAAUUCGCCCAUAAAUGUGGAAACAUAGGUAAUAUAAGUAAGGAAUCAUACUCCAAAUAGUGUCCAAUACGAAGAAAGUGGUUACAUAAAAAUAUACAAAUUCAAGGUUGAAUAACACAAGAAACUCCUUCCGUAGGACCCAUAUAAAAGUAAUUCCAUUUAUUUAACUCCACCUCUCGAUUUUUAGCCACCCAGUCUAAUCCCAAUUGCAACAUUACAAAUACUCGAUUCAUCAAAUCAUACAUACUUAUCAUAGUACUCUAUUGAAGCCAACACUCUAAAAACAAACAAAAAUCAUAACUACACCAACCAUUCACCUUACUCUCAAACUGUCCCUAGUAUCAAAAUCUCCAUAUAAAACACAUUGUAGCCUCUACAAAUUUCAAAAUUUGGCUCUCUCUCUCUCUUUCCAUUUAAGAAUUACAUGACAUACAUGAGUCACACUUAAGACUGAUAGCACUAUUUUCAAAAUACUUUUCCAUCGAGGUAAGCUAAUCGAAUCACAUACAAUGUCAACUUCACACAAAAUUUUACAUACAUUCCCACUACCAUUCAUACCAUCAUGUACCUCACGCCAAAACUCGACGAAAUCCGUGGUCACCUCAAUAAUUUUGUAUACUAUAAGCUCUAACCUCUACUCACCAUCAAAUGUCAUAUCAUGACAGUCUAUGUUGUCUCAUAAAAAUAGUAAUCUCAAUCCCCUCAAAAUCCUUAAUAACCUUGUUUAACUAUAGGUCCAUAUUGUUACGUAUUAUUAAGUUACCUAUCAUAAUUGGGACAAUCUACCUCCAUAUAACCACAUAAAUCUUUCACACCUAAUUGCUUGUCACCCAACCAAAAAUUCAAUCUUUAGAAAAGGCGAUGAUAACUUUCUUAUAAGUCUAUACCGAACUAGUUCAGAUCCCACAUUCAUAUCUAUACUCAUAGAUAAAAAUCAAUAAAUAAUUCAAGUACAAAUCAAGACCUUAUACGAGAGUUCUUAUUCCUUCAUUUUUCUUAAACUCUUAAAUUCUUCACAUGACAGAAAUUUAAAAAAAUCUUGAACUCUUCAAUACAUCAAAAUUUUGUUUUAUUUAUUUAUUAUUUUCUAACUCACUUACAAGUCUUAUUCUUUGUCCAACUACACAUGACAUUUUUACCUUAUCCUCUAAAUAAAAACUUUAACUAAAACCAUUCCUUAGGUAUAACAAUCAAAAGUAAGCAAUUUACUACUCAAUUUUUUUUUUUUUUUUCUCUUUCCCAAUGCUUCAUACCCAAUGUGAUCGAUCACUUAUUACCAAACCAAUUCAUACCUUGACAAAACAAACUGCCACAACCUACACUUACAAUAAAAACUUGAUUUUUUUUUCAAUUCUUUCGAUCCCAACCGUGUAAUACAAAUCCAUUAUCUAUCAACAUUAACUCACACCUUGAAAUUUUAAUGAAUUUAUGUAUGACAGCUUAUCAUAAAUUGCCUCUCUAACGACCUUAUAAUAUCCUUCGCUAAAAUUCAAAUGUAGAUGAAUGUAUGUAUAUUUUAUCAAAUAGUCUUUAACAUAUAUGAAUGCCACAUAACAUUAUCACCAAACUAAAGCAAAACAGACAGAGUCACGAGUCCCUGAACUCAAUUCCCCAAAUUUUCACUGUAAAUACAUCUCUAAUCCUUGUGAUAAGAGUAAAUAUCCUAGCUCUCUCCUCGCUCUAAAAAGUUAAACUACAUACCACUAAUUCUUUCCAUUAUGGUUCUAGCUCCUUUCAAUUCUAUUUAAGUGGUGUCCCAACCUCUCAUACAAUUUUUCAUAAAAAUCACACUACUUACCAAAUAAUAUCCAACCAUAUCCUUAGAUACUCAAAAGUCAUCAUUACCAUACAGAGUCCUUUUAACCAACAAACUUUAUCAUAUAGUUUUAUUCCAAGCAUAAUUUAUCAUAAAACCUUAUUAUCAUCAUGUUUAGUUAUGUCUUGCCAUCACCACAAAUUAAACCUCACCAUCAACAUGACUUUCAAACCUAGUUCUGCCGAUCAUUUAAUGGACUCACUCAAUUUAUAUGCACUUUCUUACUGAAAUUUCCAAUUAAAUUCUAAAAAGUAUACUCGUUGGAACUUCUUUUACCUAUAAAUUGGUCAUCCUAAUUUCAAUCCACUUCCAUGGAGCUUACAACGAAAUCACCACUCAUUUUUAAAUCCUCAAGAUACACUUUUUAACCUAAACACGUUAAUAUUGUACCAAAGAUCCACCACUAAGGAUUUUCUUAUAAAUAAUGCUUAACUCAAGCAUCCAUAGUAACAAACUAUUUGGUCUCUCAAAUAUGAAUUUAACAUCGAAUCUCAUUAUACGAGAAUGUGAUACAACUGAUAACUCCGUAACCAGUACAUAUUCACGCUUAUAAUCGAUGUAUUCAUUUUCAUAUAAAUGAAGUACCACAUCAUUACCUAUUGUUAGAGCCUCCACUAUAAUACAUCAUACCUAUCGAGAAGAUCAUACCCAAAUAGCCCGCAAAUUCCAAACUAUCGAAUAACUCUAGAAUAUUACUAAAUUCUUACCAUAUCUAGCCCAAGCUAUAUGUAUUCUUUCAUACGUCAGAUCGAUAACAAGAGUAACACACUCCAUAAUUCUAACCAAGUAUCUAUCAAUACCAUUGGGUUAGUCGUAUCAUGACCUUAUUUAAUACACACUCUAUAAAAUCGUAGCAGUUUUAACCUUAAUUGGUGAAUCAUUAUUCCAUCAUUUUCUAAGCAACCCGUUCAUGUUAUGAUAACUUUACUAAUUGUAGUUUCCAAAAUUACAUGUUCAUUAUCCAGUCAUCCCUUUAAUCACGCCACUUCCAUUUGCUAACCACUCUAAUAUCGUAUAUACCACACAAGUACUAAUCAUUUUACUAUGAUAACUAAACUUACAUAGCCCCUUAAUUUUUUUUAAUUAUUUAUUUUAAUAUUCAAAAUAUAACCACAAAUCCUUUUUAUAAGUAUAUCACUUCCACUUUAAUACCAGAUCUAACAUCAAACCAAUACACGACAUGUCAAUGAUUCACAAAAGAAACUACGCACGAGUCAUCACAUAAAUGAAAGCGAAUGGAGUGAAGCGAUAAGAAUCAAAAUGGGACCAAGUAUGCACAAUAGAGAUCCAAGAAGUGAAGAUAUUUCCUAGAAGCCACUACAGCCUCUCGAAAAUAGGUACAGACGUCUCCGUACUGAUCAUCGAGACUCUAUUUAGACUCGACUUGUAUACACGUUAGGCCUAUGAACCUGGGGCUCUGAUACCAUUUUGUCACGAUCCGAAAAUGGACGUGAUGACACUCGUCUUAUCCCACCAAGACAAGUAAGCCUAGAACUCAACUAUUACAAUAAAAAUGCGGAAAAUUUACUAUCAACUUACAUUAUACCCCAAAACCUGGUUGUCACGUGUACAAGCCUCUAAAGUAUUACAAUCGGAUCAAAAGAAAAUAUAAGUCUCAUAUGAUAUUGUUUCUAGAGUAGAACAAAAUCAUAAACAAGAGUAAGGAGGGAUGCUGAGAUGACCAAUAACUACCUCACAAAAUCUCCAGGAAGCCUCGGAAAAGAAGAGAAUAUAUCAUAAAAGUCCGGGCUAGUAACCUACAAAAAUUUGUAGAAGCAAGGGGUGAGUAUCAAACCACACGGUACUCAGCAAGUAAAACGUCUAAACACAAGCUAAGAGGAUAAAAAUACGAGUACUCCUAACACCCCCAACAAAACCUCCACAACUACAACCUGCAUUAAAAUCAACCAAACCUAACAGCUCACAGUUUACAUAGCACGUAGCUCAAUAACAACACUUAGACAAAUUACAUAUCCUCAACAACAACACUUCAACAAAUUACAUAUCCUCAACAAGAAUACUUCAACAAAUUACAUAUCCGCAAUAAGAAGCUCAAUAUUAAUCAAUCACAAGUUCCGCAGAAAGGCAAUCAGAAGAUCGGUAAAAUACGAUAUUAAGUUCACUAAUGAUAAGUAUGUGCAAUGCAAUGGAAUGCAAUGUCAAGUAUAAUGAUGCAUGUCUGACCUAGUGAUACACACCCGCUGUCUCUUAGUCCGGGACCCAUGGGGACAUAUCUGUCCAUGCAUCUGUCGCGGCGCACGACACGACCCUCGAUAAUAGUAACCAUCGCGGCGCACGAUAUGUCCCUCGAAAUAUAGUAUCCAUCGCGGCGCGCGAUACGUCCCUCGAAAUGGUACAUCCUCUUAAGUACCCAUUCUUUCUUAAUGCACAUAACACUUGUCACAACAAAUGCCUCAGAAUAAUGCAGAUGACAAGUUCACACAUAUAAUGAGGAGAUGACCAUUUUCAUAACAUCACACAGUUCACAACCACACAAACAUGAAGUUACAUCAACAAUGAUUCAACAAGCCUUCAACCCUUUCUCAACACAACAGACAUAAACAAUUAAUCACAUUGUCUUUUGUUAUCCCCAUUCUUUUCAUUAUUAAAAUAAAUCAAUGUGGACAAGUCAACCCAUCACCAAUCCCGUUACUCCCAACAUAUACCACAAGGACAUACACGCAUUUCAUACACUUAACAAGAAUUUAGAAAUCCACUUGCCUCAAUUUAUCGAAAACUCACUCCAUGACUUGAGCCUUUAAUUUUCGUUGAACUUCCAACUCAAGCAAUCUAUUCAUACAAAUGAUCACGAUAAGAUUUCGAAACUAACAACAUUCAUAUAAUUAUGUGUCUAGCCUUGACCCAAAAAGCCACAAAGUCUAAAAUCAAGUUCUUAAGUUUCAAUCUUAGAGUUAAGUUCCAAUUUUUUUUCAAUAUCCUAAAUCUAAUAAUGAUAUUCUCAUAAUAUCUUACACCUAAUAUUAAUUUCAUUAAACUUGUAUCAUAAUUGAACAAUAAAAUUCUAAAAUUUGCAACCAAUGAAUACAAUAACCUUACCGAAAUUUUUGACUCAUAUUUACAUCAAAGUCAUCUAUUAUUAUUAAUGAUUAACUACUCAUAAAUUUCUAAUUAUUGGCUAAUAAUUGACCACUCAAGGAAUUGUUCUCCCUUAGAUCCAAAAGACCCCAACGACUUACUGAUAUUUCAAAUUGAAAUUAGCAAUUCACUUUCCUUCUAACCCAACAACAUAAACAUCAUAAUAUUUCAAUCUAUAGCACUCUAAAUAUAUAGAUAUAUAAAAAUAAAAAUAUAUUCACUACACUAACUCAAUUUGCUCCCCACUUUCUAACAUUCACGUCAAUCAUAAUUGGUAUUACCUGAAGUAGUUGUCGUCAUUCUCGCCUAAACCCUUUCUUCUUCUUCUUUUUUCUAUUCUUUUUCUCCUCUGCGAACUGCUGUUGUUCACAACAGCCAACAAUAUAUGACCUUUUCUUUCUCUUUUGAUUAUUUCUUUUAAACAAAAGUCUGCGUGACUGCUGCUAUUAGCAGCAGCCUUUAACCCUUUUUUUUCAAUUGGGUGUAGCCCUUUUUAAUUUUUUAUUUUUGUUAUUAUUUUUUUAUUAUUUCCUUUUCUUUUCUUUUUCUUAAAAAUCCUUUUGGACUUAGCAAAUUUAAUUUCCUUUAUUUAUUUAAUAAAACUUAAGUAUCUCUUAAUUUAUUUACAAAAGUUAUAAUAUUCAUUUCCACCAGUCAUAAAUUAUUUAUAAAAAUUA
rnacentral:lncRNA from 1 species